GACGGCCCUUUNNGGUCUGUAAGCUCUGUUCGUUAGGGAAGAACCGUACGUGAAGUAACUGCCAGAACCUUGACCGGACCUAUCCAUAACGCCACGGCUAACUACAUGCCAGCAGCCGCCGUAAUACGUAAGUGGCGAGCGUUGUCCGGAAUUAUUGGGCUUGUCGCGCGCGCAGGCGGUCUUUUGAGUCUGAUGUCAAAUCCCCGGGCUCAACCGUGGAACUACAGUGAAAACUGGGAGACUUGAAUGCCUGGUAGGAAAGUGAAAUUCCACGUGUUCCGGAGAAAUGCCUAUAGAUGUGGAGGAACUCUGGGGUUAACUGACCUUUCUGGUCUGUAACUGACGGAGAG
rnacentral:rRNA from 1 species